AUGAGCUUGGCUUGAUCGAUCUGCAAUAAUGCUAAUCAAGAGAGAGACAAUAGUGAAGAACCACAAAUCUUUUAAAUCACGGUAGAAGAGCUUCUAUCUUAAAACAAUCUUACAUUAGCUUGUUAUGUAGGCACUAAUUAUUUGGACCGGCACAAAAUGGCCAAUGACUUAAAUGUGCAUGCUAGAAAGAAACUAAUAACCAAC
rnacentral:lncRNA from 1 species